rnacentral:rRNA from 1 species
AGAGUUUGAUCAUGGCUCAGAUUGAACGCUGGCGGCAGGCCUAACACAUGCAAGUCGAGCGGUAGCACAAGAGAGCUUGCUCUCUGGGUGACGAGCGGCGGACGGGUGAGUAAUGUCUGGGAAACUGCCUGAUGGCGGGGGAUAACUAGUGGAAACGGUAGCUAAUACCGCAUAACGUCGCAAGACCAAAGUGGGGGACCUUCGGGCCUCACGCCAUCAGAUGUGCCCAGGUGGGAUUAGCUAGUAGGUGGGGUAACGGCUCACCUAGGCGACGAUCCCUAGCUGGUCUGAGAGGAUGACCAGCCACACUGGAACUGAGACACGGUCCAGACUCCUACGGGAGGCAGCAGUGGGGAAUAUUGCACAAUGGGCGCAAGCCUGAUGCAGCCAUGCCGCGUGUGUGAAGAAGGCCUUCGGGUUGUAAAGCACUUUCAGCGAGGAGGAAGGGUAAUGUGUUAAUAAGACAUUG